UCAUUGAAGUGGAGCUCGAGUAUCCACUCCAAACCCUGUGACUUAUCUCUUUGUUGCCUCGGCGCAAGCUACCCGGGACCCGCGCCCCGGGCGGCCCGCCGGCGGACAAACCAAAACUCUUGUUAUCUUAGUUGAUUAUCUGAGUGUCUUAUUUAAUAAGUCAAAACUUUCAACAACGGAUCUCUUGGUUCUGGCAUCGAUGAAGAACGCAGCGAAAUGCGAUAAGUAAUGUGAAUUGCAGAAUUCAGUGAAUCAUCGAAUCUUUGAACGCACAUUGCGCCCAUUAGUAUUCUAGUGGGCAUGCCUGUUCGAGCGUCAUUUCAACCCCUAAGCACAGCUUAUUGUUGGGAACCUACGGCUUCGUAGUUCCUCAAAGACAUUGGCGGAGUGGCAGUGGUCCUCUGAGCGUAGUAAUCUUUUAUCUCGCUUCUGUUAGGUGCUGCCCCCCCGGCCGUAAAACCCCCAAUUUUUUCUGGUUGACCUCGGAUCAGGUAGGAAUACCCGCUGAACUUAAGCAUAUCAAUAAGCGGAGGAAAA
rnacentral:rRNA from 1 species